rnacentral:lncRNA from 1 species
UUGAGUUAGAUGUUCAUGAACAGUCUCUUAAAUAAUCCUACAAUUUAAAGGCUGCCAAAGGAGGGACAUAUUUUUCAUUUUUGCAGAAAAGGAAGCAAAAGAUAAUCCCAACUUUAUUUGAGUAUUCAAACCCCUUUCCAACUUUUAAAUCAUCAAGUCCAUGCCCAUUUCAUAAAAUUAGUGGAUAUGGAUUACAAACAAUAAAUAUAAUUUUGCUAAUUAUUUAGUUGAUUGUUCAUUAGUGUUAUGGCAUUUGUAUUUGUUAUUCUGUGUCAUGUUAAUCCUGUUUAGACACUUACUAGGAUUAACCUUAGCGCCAUGGUAUUUUUUCU